CCACUCCUGGCCACUAGUACGUAAAUUUGUGUCUGCAAUUGCAUUUAUGCUGAAGGGAGGAGUGUCGACCAGCUACCACAUUUCACUAGGUCAGUGUGAUGCAGAAAUACGACAUUCCUGAAGAGGCAACAUACUGUGAAAAUAGGCCAAGGCCCAUCUGCUUACUUUUAAACACAACACAGCCUAAUCGAAAUAUUGACAUCGUAUAAUUAGCGCGGCUAAAUUAGAUAUUUAAGAAGGGAAGUUGAUGGGCGAUGAUAUCAAGUAGGCUGUAGCAUCGCACAUUUGUUUGUUAGAGUCGCUCCACAUUGAUCGUGAGAGGGUUAGAUAGCUAAAUUUUAAGUAGUCAGAAUAACUCCAAGUCUCCAAUAGUAUGAUACUUUCUAAGAGGUGCUUAAAAACAAAACCGUGCAUGCUACCCUAUGUCGGAAAACAGUUUGGCUGAAACGGAAAAUUGGGUCGGGUAUACAUGUGUCAUUAUGUCUCGAAACAUUUGUUCAGUUACAAUUUAAGUGGUGGACUGGUGGUGGUUUUGUAAAGCUUGCUGGAAACAUGAGCACCACAUCUUCCCUUGUUAAAUUCAGAAAGGAGAGUAUUAUUUUUAGUUAUCCUCCAAGUUUAAAUGGUCCUGCACGACAGCUCGGGUUAAUAAUAUUCAUGAUCCAUAAGCCAGGACCUGCAGUGAGCUUAAAACUUGUGAGUGUGGGCAAGUGUCACACAAGUCUUCUGUGGUGGAGAAAAAGGGAAGAAUAGGCUCAUAAGUCACAACCAAUAAUAUGGUGAAGAUAUGAAUCAAUCUAUCUUAUUCUUGGAUCAGAUAUCUGGGAGUAGGGGCUGUUUGUUUCCUCCUCAUCUCUUUAAGUUUGGAUAGAAUCUUAACAUCACAAUUCAUGAUUCUCAAUCUUUGUGGGGACUUUGUUAGACAGAUUGGCAAACAUGGCCUACCACCCCACAUGUACUCCAACUCCCUCAGCCCAUCCCUGCUUUCUUUAAUAAUGACUACUUCCUUAUUUAUACCCAAUCUAUCAAUUCCAACCAAAUAACAGAUUAGUACUCAACCUCAGAGCCAAAAAUAAUACAGACACUUCUCUCUUUUUACUUGUCAAAGUUUGUCUCCAUGGAAGUGUUGGAUCAUGAUGAUAUCUUCUUUGCAGACCUGAACAAGCAGAUUUCUCUGCUUAUAAUGGAGGACGACGACGAUAUUCAUCUCCCUGUCUCAGGCUAUCCACAUCCCUCUGCUUCUUUUCAGCCAUUUUCUCGAGUUGUUCAUCCAAGGCCAACGACACAACCACAAAUGUUUCAUGACCACAUUCGCCAAAAUGAACAGAGCAAAGGAACUGGCGUUUUCAUCCCUCUUUCCACUCAACCAAGAAGAAAGAACAAGCAAGGAAGGUUUACUAGUGCAGCAUCAAACGGCAAGUUUCAGAAGCAUUCUGAUGAUAACUCAAGAAGGCUUCCACAAGGCUUGGCUUCCAACAAUUACUAUUCCUUUAACCACAAAAGAAGUUGAAUAAAUUUUGUAUAUUCAAGGCCUCAAGUACUAUGUGUAAAAUAUGUUCAAGCAGUGUGUAGCCAAAUAAUUCUCUACAUUAAAGGAUAAAUGUAAGAGAUUACAUGGCGAUCAAGUAGAUCAAUGCCAGCCGAAUAUAGAAUUAGUAGUUUUUGGUGGGAAGUUUUUAUAAAAAGUUUGGAGCUAGCUUCAUUCUUGUGAUAGCAUUGUAUGAUUGAUUUAUGGUAUUAAGUUUGUUUAAUUAUGUAAUUUUGAUGUUAAUACAUUGAUACAUUAUUUCCUUAA